rnacentral:rRNA from 1 species
CAACCGUUGCUCGGAAUUAUUGGGCGUAAAGCGCACGUAGGCGGCUUAGCAAGUCGGACGUGAAAUCCCUCGGCUCAACCAAGGAAGUGCUUUCGAAACUGCUGAGCUUGAGUACGAAAGAGGAUCGCGGAAUUCCCGGUGUAGAGGUGAAAUUCGUAGAUAUCGGGAGGAACACCAGUGGCGAAGGCGGCGAUCUGGGUCGAUACUGACGCUGAGGUGCGAAAGCGUGGGGAGCAAACAGG